rnacentral:rRNA from 1 species
AGUGAACGCUGGCGGUAGGCCUAACACAUGCAAGUCGAACGGCAGCACAGUAAGAGCUUGCUCUUACGGGUGGCGAGUGGCGGACGGGUGAGGAAUACAUCGGAAUCUACUUUUUCGUGGGGGAUAACGUAGGGAAACUUACGCUAAUACCGCAUACGACCUACGGGUGAAAGCAGGGGAUCUUCGGACCUUGCGCGAUUGAAUGAGCCGAUGUCGGAUUAGCUAGUUGGCGGGGUAAGGGCCCACCAAGGCGACGAUCCGUAGCUGGUCUGAGAGGAUGAUCAGCCACACUGGAACUGCGACACGGUCCAGACUCCUACGGGAGGCAGCAGUGGGGAAUAUUGGACCAUGGGCGCAAGCCUGAUCCAGCCAUACCGCGUGGGUGAAGAAGGCCUUCGGGUUGUAAAGCCCUUUUGUUGGGAAAGAAAAGCAGCAGGUUAAUACCCCGCUGUUCUGACGGUACCCAAAGAAUAAGCACCGGCUAACUUCGUG